rnacentral:rRNA from 1 species
UGCAGAGGUCUCAAGCGUUGUUCGGAUUCAUUGGGCGUAAAGGGUGUGUAGGUGGCGCCGUAAGUCAGGUGUGAAAUUUCGGAGCUUAACUCCGAAACUGCAUUUGAUACUGCGGUGCUUGAGGACUGGAGAGGAGACUGGAAUUUACGGUGUAGCAGUGAAAUGCGUAGAUAUCGUAAGGAAGACCAGUGGCGAAGGCGGGUCUCUGGACAGUUCCUGACACUGAGACACGAAGGCCAGGGGAGCAAACGGG